AACGAACGCUGGCGGCAUGCCUAACACAUGCACGUCGAACGAGACCUUCGGGUCUAGUGGCGCACGGGUGCGUAACGCGUGGGAACCUGCCCUUAGGUUCGGAAUAACUCCCCGAAAGGGGUGCUAAUACCGGAUAAUGUCUUCGGACCAAAGAUUUAUCGCCUUUGGAUGGGCCCGCGUUGGAUUAGCUUGUUGGUAGGGUAAAAGCCUACCAAGGCGACGAUCCAUAGCUGGUCUGAGAGGAUGAUCAGCCACACUGGGACUGAGACACGGCCCAGACUCCUACGGGAGGCAGCAGUGGGGAAUAUUGGACAAUGGGCGAAAGCCUGAUCCAGCAAUGCCGCGUGAGUGAUGAAGGCCUUAGGGUUGUAAAGCUCUUUUACCCGGGAUGAUAAUGACAGUACCGGGAGAAUAAGCUCCGGCUAACUCCGUG
rnacentral:rRNA from 1 species